UGGGGAAUCUUGGACAAUGGGGGCAACCCUGAUCCAGCCAUGCCGCGUGGGUGAAGAAGGCCUUAGGGUUGUAAAGCCCUUUCAGUCGUGACGAUGAUGACGGUAGCGACAGAAGAAGCCCCGGGUAACUCCGUGCCAGCGGCCGCGCAAAAACGGAGGGGGCAAGCGAUGUUCGGAUUUACUGGGCGUAAAGGGCGCGUAGGCGGACGAUCAAGUCAGAGGUGAAAGGCCCGGGCUCAACCUGGGACGUGCCUUUGAAACUGAUUGUCUUGAGUGCGGAAGAGGGUGACGGAAUUCCCAGUGUAGAGGUGAAAGUCGUAGAUAUUGGGAAGAACACCGGUGGCGAAGGCGGUCACCUGGUCCGCAACUGACGCUGAGGCGCGAGAGCGUGGGGAGCAAACAGGAUUAGAUACCCCCGUAGUCC
rnacentral:rRNA from 1 species